CCGGGCCGGGCCGGGCGGAGCGGGAGGGGCGGGGCAAGGCUGGGCGAGCAGCCCGGGAGCGGCCGCACGCCGCCGACCGCAGCCGAGACUCCCCCUGACAGCCACUGCCUCCCCGGAGCUGCGGGUGCAGCAGCGUGUUUCCUGACGCCUGAGGCCUUAGGUCUUGGUUUUUCUCGCCUGAAGCAGCAAUCGGAACACAAUUAGCUCUUAGUCAAUGGAUGCCAAAGAUCUACCCGGAGACCGGCUCAGACUCCGCGGGUUUAACGUGGGUUCUUCGCUCGAGGGAAUUGCGGUUACGCUUAGGAGACCAAGGGGGUCACAGGCACAGUCUGGACCGCAGCACAGAAAACUCUGGCCCUACGUCCGCCAAGUAAGGCGACCGGUGUCGGCGGCUCCCAACAGAGUCCUAAGAAGACAGCAGACAAAUGGAUACUGGCAACAGAAAGAAAAGGAGAUCAACUUUAUAACAUUCCAUAUAUGAAUGUGAGGCACGGUGGUACAUUCCUUAAUCCCAGCACUCGGGAGGUUGAGGUAGGAGGAUCCCACAGAUUUGAGGUGAGUCUGGGCUAUAUAGUGAGUUCAAAACUGGCCUGAAUUACAGACAGAGACCCUGUCUCAAGACACAAAAACAAACAAAUAGAAACCCAACUAUGUGUGCGUGCGUGUGUGAUGAGAUCAUAUGGGAGUUAUCUAUGUCUGGCUUGUUUCACUUAACAUAAUGAUCCCCAGUUUCAUCCACAAUGUCACUAAUGAUAGGGUUUCAUUUGUUUCAUGAUGAAUAGUAUUCUACUAUACAUACAUACCACAUUUUCUGUAUCAGUCAUCAGUAGAUGGAUCGUCGUUUCUAUUUUGUGACUAUUGUGAAUAGCUUCAAUAAACAUGGGAGUGUAGAUACUUGUGAACACUGAUUUCAGUUCCCUUGAAUACACAUCUAGUAGAUUACUGAAUUAUACAGCACUUUAGUUUCAUUUUUAACUUUUUAAGACCUCUACACUGUUUUCUGCAAUUGCUAUUCUAGAUUAUUCAUUCUCACCAACAGUGUGCAAGCAAGGGUUCCUGAUUCUACUUCCUCUCCAGUUGUUUGCUUUUUUGGUACUGGAAAUCAUACCCAGAGAUACUGUAUCACAGGGAUACACCUAAGCCUAUUUAUUAUUUAUUUUUCAGACAAGAUCUGAAAAAGUUGUCCAGGUUGGCCUCAAACAUGUGACCUUCCUGCCUCAGCCACCAGUGUAGCUGGGAUUACAGGUGUUUGCCACCACACCAGCUUGUCUUUUUGAUAAAAGUCAUUCUACCUAGAGUACGGUGUCAUCUCACUAUGGCUUUCAUCUGCACUUCCCUGGUAGUUAGUUCAACAUUUUUGCAUACACAUGCUAUCCAUUUGUGUCUCAUUCUAAGAAACGUGUGUUUAGGUUCUUUGUUUUUUAGUCAGGAGUUUGUUUGGGGGGGGUUGUUUUUGCUAUUGAUUCUUUUCCAUUUCUCAUCUAUUAGACACAUCUGAAUGGGAGACUCAGUAGAGACAUUUAUUAGUGCUUAAAGGAUUCAGAACAGGAAACAAAAAGACAGAAAUAAAUUGGUCCAGUAAGGAAAGCAGGAUGGUAGAUAUAGUAGCACCAUGAACCUGGGAAUUUUAGCAGUAUUUCACAUUGGACUCUUUCUGUAUUCUUUCUGGAUUCAAGAUUGUGUAUUUCAGUGUUUAAGAGAAUAUAUUUAAGCAGGACUAAGGCAAUGCAGUGACAGAUCUUACUCAUAAUUUUAGUAUUGUAUAAAACUAAAGCAUUCUUCCUCCCAGGCAUUUGCAACACAAAACAUACUCUUUCAUUACACAGAUUGUAUAUGGUAUUUGGCACACUAUGUGGGGAAGCCAGCAUGCACCCAAACAAUUAAUGCUGGAAGAAAGUAUUUUUCGUAUAGUAUCUUUUAGACUAUAGGAAUAUGCAUCUCUAUCAAUAACAGGAGAUUGCAAUGUUGAAUCAGAAAUUUUGGAAAAUUAAUUUACUUCUGUAAGUUCUAACUUUCUCAUAAAACAGGGGCUUCAGUGAGCAAUAAAUGACCUCAAAGUUCACCUGACAAACAAAAAAUACGUUUCUAGGUGUUACGACUUUUGUGUAGAUGUUCCCCCAAAGCCUCGUUGCCAAAGAAGUCAUGAUGGAGGGGGCAGGGUUUUUGGAGUUGGUUGAAUUUAGAGUGUAUGACACUGGAAUUACGGGUGUGUGAUUAGCAAAUUAGUCCACUGAUUAGUUGGCACAGUUCUGGUAGGAUUGAGGGUGUGAGUGCUACGCCUGCCCUGAGCAGGUGUCCUUCAUACACUGUAAGGGACAGGAAGAGCUUUUUCCCCUUUGUUACUUUUGCUAUCUUAUAGGCUGUGCAAUGAAGUGCUUUCCUCUACAAUAGCCCUCUGCCAACUCACUCUGUCUUGGAGCGAGCUAAUCACAAGCAAAAACUUCUACAAACUGUGAACUAAAUAAACCUUCCCCCCUUUAACUUUGGAUGUCAGGUAUUUGGUCUCAGCAACGAGAGAAAGAUAACUGAGACACUAGGGCUACAUUUUGGUGUGAAUUUCCUUUCUGUUGCCAUCUUCAGAUUCAGGGCUCUUGGUCUUCCUUUGGGGAACAGCUUUUCCUCUUCAUGAUGAUGUGAAAUCUAGCUAUGCGUACCAGAAGUGAUGUUAGUCAAGUCCUGGAAGUGCUGUCAGCAAUAGCUGGUCAGCCCCUUUCAACAUAUUCUCCCUAAAGAGUCUAAGUGCCUUUUUCUCAACCCCUAAUACCUGUCAUCUGAUGCUCCCUCUUGAACUUUCCUCAUUAUCUCCAAACGUAAGAUGAGGGCCUUAAAUCAUAAAUCAUAUAUUGAAUCUCUCCUGUUCAAAAGCAUUAUCCUCGGCAUUGUGGAAAACUGAAGGCAUUUGACAAACACUAUGAAUGUCUAAAUGACAGUGACGAAUUGAUCAGAGCAUGAUAUCAUAGUGAACAACUAAAAAAGUCUCAAAUCUAGAUACAACAGAAAGGUCACUUCUCUCUCAUAUACUUUUAUAUUAUUAUAAAUUUUCACUAAGAUAUUUGGUUCCCAGGGACGUUGGACCUGGCAAUUUCCCAGAAUCUGGAAUCCUAAAUGCCUACUGGGCUUUUCUGAAUCUCAGUAACAGUUGAAGAAAGAGUAUGGUGGAUAAUGUGAGAGGACUUUAGGAACCAGGCCUCAAACUGGCAUAUGCACAAAGUGAUCAAAAAAUACAGUGACUGUUUAAAAAAUGUAUUUUAGCUAAAGACACAUUGUAGAUAAUUCCCUUCAAUCCCCCUCGCCUCCAAAUACAUAUCAUUUUUGCUGAUUUCUGAAGCUAUUCUGGAAGUCCUCCUUCUUGGCUUUAAAACUGACCAAAAACUAUGGUGACUGCAGUUGCUCAAUGUUAACCAACAAAAGAGGCAAGCUUAGAAAAACACUAGGGUGUACCCUCAUCUACCCUGCUCACCAGAUAUGGCACUAUGCAACUUUCUGUCUGCUCUCCAAGGUCAAAGUGAUCAUGAAAGGCACACAUUUUGAAUUGAUUCAAGAUAUUGAGCAGUCGUAAUAGCACCACUAAAGACAUUCAUGAAAGAGUACUUUUAGAACUUCAAAACAUAACAAGAAUGAUGUGCAUUCAGUGUGAAUGGGGGUAUUUUGAGGGAGAUUAAUGACAGCAAUAUGUCAUUUAUUGUAGUAAAUUAUUUUUAAAAGUUAAACAUUUAGGUUUAUUGAUUACACCUGGGUGUUUCCUUUGCCCAAUGUUGUAUUGGCCACAGUCUCAUCUGGAACAGCUAAUGGAAAAUGAGCUGGGAAAUGAGGUUUAUCUGCAUGUGCAGAAGGAAGAGGAAACAAGGCUGAUAAACAGAUACUGUAAUAAUCCCAACUACAACUAAGAUGGAGAUAAAGUGAGUGCCAUGGAGAAUCAAAGCAGGGAGUUCAUGUCUUCUGAAAGGUGGUAAGGAAAGCUUCAGAAAAGUAGUUGCUUCUCAACUUGGCCCUGAACAGUCACAAAGAUUUCAACUGCUGCACAAAAGGAAGAUACAGAUUUUAUGGUUAAGAUCAUUAAGACAAAGCUGGUAAAGAACGCUAGGCACAGAUCAAAGAUGGCUAUAAUUUCCAAGUUUAAGAGUUUAUUUCGUUUUCAUCUGCAGACAUUAAGAAUCCAGUAAGUUUCUUUUCCAGAUUUAUUAAUGAAGAUAUCACACUAGCCAUCAGUAUAAGAGAAAUCUGAGAAUAAUAUUGUGUCAUCAUUAAUUGUAAACUCACAGAGCAAGAUGCCCUUUAUGGUGGAAUAAAAAUUAUAUAUAUAUAUAUAUAUAUGUAUAUAUAUAUAUAUAUAUAUAUACUUAACAUAUAUAUGGAUUUAAUAGAAAAAUAUACGUAAAACGUCAAGUUUCUGUUUUAAAGACCUCUUUGUGUCUUGAGAGGCAAAUGCCAUACUGAGUUAAUGUAUAUGCAAAUAGACUUAGUUAAUCCACAAAGUUAUAUAAAUACAGAACAUUAUUUUGUUGGGUUUAUGACCUUAAAUGUGACAGCUUUCAUGGGUCACUCAUUACAGUACACAGCAGAUGUGAGUCCACAAUCAGGCUCAUCUAUGACUCUUGAUGUGUUGGAGAUUAGUUAACCAAACCCUUAAAGCAGCUCUGCCAUUUUUCUGCAUUCUGUAAUGUAGUUAACAUUUAAACUUGAUUGAUUUCCUUUUAACUUAACUUGCUCUUGUUAGAAUCACUUCACUCAAUGGAGUCACCUUUGGUACAAGCUAUAGAUUUUCAAUUUAAGAUUCCUGAACAUUUUAGAAACAUUUUUGUUGAUUAAAAUAAAAAGUAUUCUUGUUUUCCAGUGAUUUCAUGCCUUACCCACUGAGCAGGAUAUACAAAAGCUUGAGAAUCAAAUGGUGAAACGAACAGUGUGCAGAUCUUCCGUCACACACGGUCUGUUCAAUUUACUCAUGGAGAUAAUGUUGCGUUGACAAUUCUGCACUCAUCCACUUUUUCUUGUGUUUAUGUUUGUUUAAAUAGGCAUACACUACAAUCUCUGUAAGUUUAUGAACAAUCAGUUUGGAUGGACCAGAGUCUGAAUCAAAUGCUUUUCAGUUUUCCUCUAGGUCAGUAUUUCUAAACCACAAAUCACCUGGAGAAUCCUAUAUGCCAACACUUGGUGCCGCCUUAUUGUCCUAUAUAAAAUGCUGAACUGGAGUUUUACUCUUCCUCGAAUGAAGUGGCAUCUUUAUUUAUGUCGACUGCCUCUUCUCUUCAUUGCCGCAGUGCACUGUGGACAGUACCAUUUUCCCUUUGGCGCUUCUGUCAAUCCAACACAUCCAUAAUGGAACCAUUCUAUUGGGCACUAAAAGGC